CGGCGAGUGAAGCGGCAACAGCUCAAAUUUGAAAUCUGGCGCAAGCCCGAGUUGUAAUUUGUAGAGGAUGCUUCUGGGCAGCGGCCGGUCUAAGUUCCUUGGAACAGGACGUCAUAGAGGGUGAGAAUCCCGUAUGUGACCGGUUGGCACCCUCCACGUAGCUCCUUCGACGAGUCGAGUUGUUUGGGAAUGCAGCUCUAAAUGGGAGGUAAAUUUCUUCUAAAGCUAAAUACCGGCCAGAGACCGAUAGCGCACAAGUAGAGUGAUCGAAAGAUGAAAAGCACUUUGGAAAGAGAGUUAAAAAGCACGUGAAAUUGUUGAAAGGGAAGCGCUUGCGACCAGACUUGUCGGCGGUGUUCCGCCGGUCUUCUGACCGGUCUACUCGCCGUCGGCAGGCCAGCAUCAUCUGGGGCCGCCGGAUAAAGGCUCAGGGAAUGUAGCUCCCCUCGGGGAGUGUUAUAGCCCUUUGCACAAUACGGCGCGCCCCGGGUGAGGUCCGCGUCUCGGCAAGGAUGCUGGCGUAAUGGUCGUAAGCGGCCCGUCUUGAAACACGGACCAAGGAGUCGAUUAUCUAUGCGAGUGUUCGGGCGUCAAACCCCUACGCGUAAUGAAAGUGAACGGAGGUGGGAACUUCGGUGCACCAUCGACCGAUCCGGAUGUCUUCGGAUGGAUUUGAGUAAGAGCAUAGCUAAUCGGACCCGAAAGAUGGUGAACUAUGCCUGAAUAGGGUGAAGCCAGAGGAAACUCUGGUGGAGGCUCGCAGCGGUUCUGACGUGCAAAUCGAUCGUCAAAUUUGGGUAUAGGGGCGAAAGACUAAUCGAACCAUCUAGUAGCU
rnacentral:rRNA from 1 species